rnacentral:rRNA from 1 species
CCCGUCAAUUCCUUUGAGUUUUAACCUUGCGGCCGUACUCCCCAGGCGGUCGACUUAUCGCGUUAGCUGCGCCACUAAGAUCUCAAGGAUCCCAACGGCUAGUCGACAUCGUUUACGGCGUGGACUACCAGGGUAUCUAAUCCUGUUUGCUCCCCACGCUUUCGCACCUCAGUGUCAGUAUCAGUCCAGGUGGUCGCCUUCGCCACUGGUGUUCCUUCCUAUAUCUACGCAUUUCACCGCUACACAGGAAAUUCCACCACCCUCUACCGUACUCUAGCUCAGUAGUUUUGGAUGCAGUUCCCAGGUUGAGCCCGGGGAUUUCACAUCCAACUUGCUGAACCACCUACGCGCGCUUUACGCCCAGUAAUUCCGAUUAACGCUUGCACCCUUCGUAUUACCGCGGCUGCUGGCACGAAGUUAGCCGGUGCUUAUUCUGUUGGUAACGUCAAAACAGCAAGGUAUUAACUUACUGCCCUUCCUCCCAACUUAAAGUGCUUUACAAUCCGAAGACCUUCUUCACACACGCGGCAUGGCUGGAUCAGGCUUUCGCCCAUUGUCCAAUAUUCCCCACUGCUGCCUCCCGUAGGAGUCUGGACCGUGUCUCAGUUCCAGUGUGACUGAUCAUCCUCUCAGACCAGUUACGGAUCGUCGCCUUGGUAGGCCUUUACCCCACCAACUAGCUAAUCCGACCUAGGCUCAUCUGAUAGCGUGAGGUCCGAAGAUCCCCCACUUUCUCCCUCAGGACGUAUGCGGUAUUAGCGCCCGUUUCCGGACGUUAUCCCCCACUACCAGGCAGAUUCCUAGGCAUUACUCACCCGUCCGCCGCUGAAUCCAGGAGCAAGCUCCCUUCAUCCGCUCGACUUGCAUGUGUUAGGCCUGCCGCCAGCGUUCAAUCUGAGCCAGGAUCAAACUCUA